GAUAGUUUAAGUGGGAUUUUACGUUUUCUUUGAGAAGUGCUUCUGGUGUUCAAACUACUUUCUGCUGGGUCUUAACAGCUCUCCAAAACCUCCGAAACCAAAGCUUUUCACUCGUCUAUUUGCAAGUCGCAAUGUCCUUUAUAAGAUGGAUUAAGGAGACCUGAAUAAAGGAACUCACAUCCUG